rnacentral:rRNA from 1 species
UACGUAGGGGGCGAGCGUUGUCCGGAUUUAUUGGGCGUAAAGAGCUCGUAGGCGGUUUGGUAAGUCGGAUGUGAAAUCUCCAGGCUCAACCUGGAGGGGUCAUUCGAGACUGCUAUGACUAGAGUUCGGUAGAGGAGUGUGGAAUUCCUGGUGGAGCGGUGGAAAUGCGCAGAUAUCAGGAGGAACACCCGUAGCGAAGGCGGCACUCUGGGCCGAUACUGACGCUGAGGAGCGAAAGCGUGGGGAGCGAACAGG